rnacentral:lncRNA from 1 species
UCAUAUUUCUCUCAAUCUUAUAUGAUGAUUCAAUUAAUAAAAUAUUAAAAACUCUUUUUAAUUUUUAUUUUACUUUGAUCAAAGACUUUUUGAAUCAUCAAUCUAUCAGAGCAAGUAGGAUGCAAUCUCCUCUUACCAGGAGUGCUUGAUUCCAGAUUGACCUACUCACAACCUCCAUACACAUUCUACUGAAGGAACC